UCUGCAACACCAGAUUAUUAUUGAUCAAUCACUGUUCUCUCUCCUAAACUAAGAUGGAAUGGAUUUCUUUAAUAUUCAAGACUGUGAGCUAAGAUCAUCAGUGAAGACUCAGGAGUUCAAGCUUCCUGGAGUGGAUUCUUCAGAUUUCCAGACAACUAUUUUCUCCCAAAAAGUUGCACCAAGCAAAAAAUUACCUCAAUACACAUAAUGGCAAG